rnacentral:rRNA from 1 species
CCUUCGGGUGUAAACUGCCGUCAGGGGGAAGAAACCUUGCGUAUAAAUAGUACGUAAGCUGACAUCACCCCCAAAGGAAGCCACGGCUAACUCUGUGC